rnacentral:rRNA from 1 species
GAGACCGAUAGCGCAGAAGUGGCGCCUGCCGACGUUUUCCAACCAUUCUUUCCAGGUUGACCUCGGAUCAGGUAGGGAUACCCGCUGAACUUAAGCAUAUCAAUAAGCGGAGGAAAAGAAACCAACCGGGAUUCCCUCAGUAACGGCGAGUGAAGCGGCAAGAGCUCAGAUUUGAAAGCUGGCUCCUUCGGAGUCCGCAUUGUAAUUUGCAGAGGAUGCUUUGGGUGGGGCCCCCGUCUAAGUGCCCUGGAACGCGCCGUCAGAGAGGGUGAGAAUCCCGUCGUGGGCGGGGUGUCCGUGCCCGUGUAAAGCUCCUUCGACGAGUCGAGUUGUUUGGGAAUGCAGGUCUAAAGGGGGUGGUAAAUUUCAUCUAACGCUAAAUACUGGCCGGAGACCGAUAGCGCAGAAGUAGAGUGAUCGAAAGUUGAAAAGCACUCUGAAAAGAGAGUUAAACAGCACGUGAAAGUGUUGAAAGGGAAGCGCUUGCGACCAGCCUCGCCCGCGGGGUUCAGCCGGCAUUCGUGCGGGUGUACUUCCCCGUGGGUGGGCCAGCGCCGGUUUGGGCGGCCGGUCAAAGGCCCCUGGAGUGUAGUGCCCUCCGGGGUACCUUAUAGCCAGGGGUGCAAUGCGGCCGGCCUGGACCGAGGAACGCGCUUCGGCACGGAUGCUGGCAUCAUGGUCGUAAACGACCCGUGUUGAAACACGGGACCAAGGAGUCUAACAUCUACGCGAGUCUUCGGGUGUCAAACCCGUGGGCGCAGUGAAAGCGAACGGGAGGGUGGGGAUUCUU